CACUCCUACGGGAGGCAGCAGUGGGGAAUUUUGGACAAUGGGCGAAAGCCUGAUCCAGCAAUGCCGCGUGUGUGAAGAAGGCCUUCGGGUUGUAAAGCACUUUUGUCCGGAAAGAAAUCCUUGGCUCUAAUACAGUCGGGGGAUGACGGUACCGGAAGAAUAAGCACCGGCUAACUACGUGCCAGCAGCCGCGGUAAUACGUAGGGUGCGAGCGUUAAUCGGAAUUACUGGGCGUAAAGCGUGCGCAGGCGGUUUGCUAAGACCGAUGUGAAAUCCCCGGGCUCAACCUGGGAACUGCAUUGGUGACUGGCAGGCUAGAGUAUGGCAGAGGGGGGUAGAAUUCCACGUGUAGCAGUGAAAUGCGUAGAGAUGUGGAGGAAUACCGAUGGCGAAGGCAGCCCCCUGGGCCAAUACUGACGCUCAUGCACGAAAGCGUGGGGAGCAAACAGGAUUAGAAACCCUAGUAGUCCCAUGA
rnacentral:rRNA from 1 species